GGGGCAGGGCAGCUAUUUUAGUCUCAACUUCCUAUAUUCAGAUCAGGGCAGAAUCCCCAGGUCCCAACCUUCAGCGCCCUGCCUCUGCCCAGCGUCUUCCUGAGGCCAGCUAGCCACUAUGGGAAACUGGUUGGCCAGUGGGUCACCUGCGGAGCCUUCUGGGGGAUCAUCUGAUGGGUCAUCUGGUAGGUUGCCUGACUUUACCUCAGUGCCAGCACACAAGCUGGAAGAGUUUAUCCAGGCAAACCUCACACCCAACGAAGAAUGUCUGAAGCUGAUAGACCAGGACGUGGAUGCCAUCUCUAACUUCCUGCGGAGCCCUGAGAUCCCUGUGGUGAGAGUGGCUAAGGGUGGUUCUUAUGGCCGAGGAACAGUCCUAAGAGGCUACUCUGACGGCACCCUUGUUCUCUUCACCAAUUCCUUCCGUAAGUUUUCGGAUCAGAAGACAAAACAAGAUCUACUCGUCCACUUGAUUGAGCAACGGCUGAAACACCAUGAGAAGUACAAUAAGCCAGAAAAGCUUGGGAACACCCUUGAAGUCCAGCUGUCCGUACAAGGGCAGGGGAUCUGCUUGCAGCUACUUCCAGCCUUUGAUCCUCUGUGCUUCGGUGAGUAUCCCAGCCCCCAGGUCUAUCGGAAUCUCAGAAGUUCUAUGGAUCAAGUACGAGCAGCGCCCGGUGAGUUUGCCGUCUGCUUCACCUCACUACAGGAGCGGUUCUUCAAGGGAUAUCCCAGGAGAGUGAAGGAUUUGAUCCUGUUGGUCAAGCACUGGUAUCAAGAGUGCCAGAAGAAGUGGAUGGCCUCCCCAUCUCUGCGGUUGUUGUAUGCGCUGGAGCUGCUCACUGUGUACGCCUGGGAACAGGGCUGCCAAGCUGAGGACUUUGACAUCGCAGAAGGCAUCAGGACUGUGCUGGGACUCAUUAGGCAGUCUUCAAAGCUGUGUGUCUACUGGACAGUCAAUUACAACUUUGAGAAUGAGACAGUCCGCAACACCCUUCUGUGCCAACUCAGGACCCAAAGACCUGUCAUCUUGGAUCCAGCUGACCCAACCAAUAACGUGGGCAAAGACGACGGGUCCUGGCAGAUGCUGACAGAGGAGGCCCAGGACUGGCUGUGCUCUCUCAGGAGGAAUGAUGUGUCACCUGCACCAUGUUGGAAUGUUCUGCCCACACCACUCUUCAUCACCCCAAGCCACUUACUGGACACGUUCAUCAAAGACUUCCUACAGCCCAACGAAACGUUCUUGAAGCAGAUCAAAAAGGCUGUUGACAUCAUCUGUGCAUUCCUUAAAGAGAACUGCUUCCGACAUUCAAGCACCAAAGUUCUGAAGUCCGUCAAGGGAGGAUCCACCACCAAAGGCACGGCUCUGAAGUAUGGAUCAGAUGCUGACAUCGUCGUGUUCCUUAGCUCGCUGAAGAGCUACGAAUCCCAAAAACAGGAGCGCCCACAGUUCAUCCAAGAGAUCCGGAGGCAAUUAGAAGCCUUCCAGCAGAUCCAGGAGCUGGAGGUGGAGUUUGAGGUUUCCAAGUGGAAGGCCCCCAGGGUGCUGAGCUUCACCCUGAAAUCCAGGAGUCUGAAGGAGAGUGUCGAGUUCGAUGUCCUGCCGGCCUAUGAUGCACUAGGUCAACUGCAUUCUGGCUGCAACUCCAGACCUAAAGCCUACAAGGAGCUCAUUGAGUUGUAUAGAUCAUCGGACAUCUCCGGAGGAGAGUUUUCGACCUGCUUUACAGAGCUACAGCGCAACUUCAUUGAACCCCGGCCCCCCAAACUGAAGAAUCUGAUUCGCCUGGUGAAGCACUGGUACAAACAGUGUGAAAGGAAAAUGAAACAUCUCUACUCUCCCCAUCCGUGUGGAAGCCAAAUGAAGUCAAAAGUAUCUUUGCCCCCAAAGUACGCCCUGGAGCUUCUCAGUGUGUAUGCCUGGGAGCAGGGCAGUGGUAUGGAGGACUUCAACACUGCCGAAGGCUUCCGGACGGCCCUGGACCUGGUCAUCAAAUACCAGCAGCUCUGCAUCUUCUGGACAGUCAACUAUAACUUCAAAGAUGAGCCGAUGAGGUCGUUCCUACUGACCCAGAUCCAGAAAAAGAGGCCUGUGGUCCUGGAUCCAGCCGAUCCCACAGGCGAUGUGGGAGGCGGUGACCGCUGGUGUUGGCAUCUUCUAGCUGAAGAGGCGAAGAAGUGGCUAUCCUCCCCCUGUUUUGACUCGGAACUGGGACAAAGUGUACAGCCAUGGAAAGUGCCAGUAAGAGUGCCCUGAAGAAAGUGGGUGGCCGCCACAAAUCCAAUCAAAGGGCUUUCUUGCUGUAGUGAUUUGGAAUUACUGAGCACCCCAAAGAAUUGAAAACUGGACUCCAGGGGUUCAGCCAGUCAUCUCCCCUGCUCCAGGUAGUGCAGACCCCAGGAAGCUGUGGAGCUCAGAUCUACCCCACUGUGGGUGAGGGCAGACCAGUUGGAAUCCAGCUCUGGAAUGAAAUUGCUGGAAGAAGCUUCUAGAGUUGUCUGACAAUUGAUUUAAAGACUCAGUCUAUGUUACAAAAGGGAGCUGGUAUCAAUCCUCCCCGGCUGCAGUGCUCCCCGGCUGCAGUGCUCCCCGGCUGCAGUGCUCCCCGGCGGGUCCUACUUCUCUCUCCUGCUCUUCCAGAUGACUCUGCUUGAAAUCAAGACUUCAGAUCUGCUCCCCCGCCCCCACCCUGGGGUCUCACAUUAUGGACACCCCUCUGUGCGACUGACCUUCAGAGACACGCGCCCCCAAGCAGCAUGCCGUGUCCCGGUUCUGUGUGUUUUCUCCGUCUCCUUCUCUACACAUCUCUCUUCAGCUGCGGACUCAACCCUGUGUCACCGAAGUUCAGCCCCUCCCUUGCCCUUCCUUCCCACCAGCCCCAGCUAGCUCUGAGUGCUUGGCUGACUCUUUGCCCCUCUCUUCCCUCCAUCCACAGGCCUUUCCUGUGGUUGUUCAUUUUCAUGCUUGAUAAUAAACAGUGGCCUUGAGCACA